UACGUAGGGUGCAAGCGUUAAUCGGAAUCACUGGGCGUAAAGGGCGCGUAGGCGGGAUGGCAAGUCAGUCGUGAAAUCUCUCGGCUCAACCGAGAAACGUCGGCUGAUACUGCCGUUCUUGAGGGAUGCAGAGGAGACUGGAAUUCCCGGUGUAGCGGUGAAAUGUGUAGAGAUCGGGAGGAACACCGGUGGCGAAGGCGGGUCUCUGGGCAUCUCCUGACGCUGAGGCGCGAAAGCGUGGGGAGCAAACGGG
rnacentral:rRNA from 1 species